AGUGAACGCUGGCGGUAGACCUAACACAUGCAAGUCGAACGGCAGCACAGUAAGAGCUUGCUCUUACGGGUGGCGAGUGGCGGACGGGUGAGGAAUACAUCGGAAUCUACUUUUUCGUGGGGGAUAACGUAGGGAAACUUACGCUAAUACCGCAUACGACCUACGGGUGAAAGCAGGGGAUCUUCGGACCUUGCGCGAUUGAAUGAGCCGAUGUCGGAUUAGCUAGUUGGCGGGGUAAAGGCCCACCAAGGCGACGAUCCGUAGCUGGUCUGAGAGGAUGAUCAGCCACACUGGAACUGAGACACGGUCCAGACUCCUACGGGAGGCAGCAGUGGGGAAUAUUGGACAGUGGGCGCAAGCCUGAUCCAGCCAUACCGCGUGGGUGAAGAAGGCCUUCGGGUUGUAAAGCCCUUUUGUUGGGAAAGAAAAGCAGCAGGUUAAUACCCCGCUGUUCUGACGGUACCCAAAGAAUAAGCACCGGCUAACUUCGU
rnacentral:rRNA from 1 species